rnacentral:rRNA from 1 species
CCUACGGGAGGCAGCAGUGGGGAAUAUUGGACAAUGGGCGCAAGCCUGAUCCAGCAAUGCCGCGUGUGUGAAGAAGGCCUUCGGGUUGUAAAGCACUUUCACUAGGGAGGAAAAGCUGUGCGUUAAUAGCGUAUAGCCGUGACGUUACCUAGAGAAGAAGCACCGGCUAACUCCGUGCCAGCAGCCGCGGUAAU